rnacentral:lncRNA from 1 species
GAUAAUUCACCUAAGAAGCAUAAAUAUGUCGAGGAGCCUUAGUUUCAUCAUCUUGGCUUUGCUUGUAGUGGCAAACACUGAAAGUAGACUUAUUUUAGCUAGUCACAUUGGCGAAGGAUCUAACCCAGAUGCCUCAUUUUCCAUUAAUCCUACAACAUCACCUGACAUUGUUGAUUGUUCAGGGCUUACAAGGGAAGAGUGUUUGAUUGCAGAGUUAAAGAAAGCUCUCGAAGAUUAUAU